GGUCCCUCAGGAAGCGCAUAAGCAGCUCCUUAUCAGUCAGUUGCAGAGAGGAAUCAUGCGGCGAGUUCCCGACAACCCCCGCGGCGGCCCCUAACUAAUUGACUCCCUCUCUCUCCAUCUCACUGGGCUGCGCGCACAGACUCACGGGAGCAGCAGCCGCAAAUAUGCUGGACAUGGCGGCCCAGACAGACUACCAACCCUUCAUACUCGGGAAGUCCCGCUUCGAGCAGGCAAUUAUCCAUCCAGACACAAAUGAAAAGAUUUUUAUGCCUUUCAGAAUGUCAGGUUGUGGGUCUCCUGCUGCCAAAUCAGACACUGGUUUCAACUGUCUUCUGGCAGUGGCUGAAUCAGAGUCACAAUGCAGGUGUCAACUAUACAAACCGAAAUGCUACGAAUGUGAGAAGCCUCACGUGGGACCUGUAUUGUCUGAGCUACGUGACAUGAUCAUUAAUUGCCCCGGGUGUCUGCCAUUAGCCACACAACUUCCCUGGGGGGCACUUUUUGUUCUCUUUCCUCUUCACUAAAUCUAUUUCCAGAGUUUCCUUGUACCUCAACUCCCGGAUGAUUCGUUCUCCUGUAUCAACUGUCCUACAAAGUAGACGUGACAGAACGUAACAUACAUGUGAUUUGCUCGGGCCUAAGUGAAACCACACGUGUGUGUAUGAGGCACCACAUUAGAUUUAUCACACAGCACUGCAAGGCUUCUGCGGGCUCACUGCAACUGUAUUCAAUCAGCUGAGGGCAGACCAAAGACUAUUGGGGUCUCACUCUGGCUAAUGCCUUCUCCGACAUCAAAGUUCAUUCUGGGAUACACAGGGGCAGUCAUCAGUGGGUCUCCAUUGCAGUUGGCCUUAAUAUUCUUGUCCAGAGAGCUAACAAGUUUACUCCUUCGACCCGUCUCCUGAUCCAGCGCUUUGUACCAUUCCCAGCUGUAGCCAGUGCCAACGUGUGCAACGUGGUCCUGAUGAGACACAGUGAACUAGAGGAGGGGAUUGAUGUUCUGGACAGCAAUGGGCACAUCGUUGGAUCCUCGAGAAUCGCUGCCAGACAUAGGGAUUCGCCUGUGCUGCCAACAUUACACUUUCCUGUCGGGAGCCAAUCUGUAAUCCAUGUUGUCGGAUCUAGGGAAAAGUACUGGCAGGGAGGCAAAUUGCGUGACUUUUUGGCACAAAACAAGGACGUAAAAAAUGUUUUCCCCUUCCAACCCCUAAUUUGCAUAUGCGGGGAACCAAUUUUUUUUAUUAUACAUCAAUUGGGAGUCCACAUCUGAUUUAUAUUUGAGUAAGCCUAAGGGACUCGGCCCAGUUCUUAGGCGAUCACAUAUAAGGAAAUCCUUUAUCCAAAGAUAACUGUCCCAAGGCUUUUGUUUUCAUAAAAAGUAUUGUUUUAUUAAAUUAGCAUUAAAA